ACACUAACAAUAGAAACCUGUAGACUGUUGUAGACUGAUAUAGAUCGGGAAAACGUAAGAGAGAAGUGAAAUAGAAUCAAUACAAUGCGAGAAAACGUCUUCGUGUUGGUCUGUGUUUAACAUCCACUUCCUUCGCACUACGUUGUUCCGACCGUGCGUGUCCGUGUCUCUUUGCCAUUUCCGUUGUCGUCAACUGUCGAAAGCUCGAGCUGGUUCUCGUCAUCAUCCAAUCUUUGGCUCCCUGCUCAUCAUCGCCGUGCAUUGCCUCUGCAUGUUCGCUUCAUAAAGGUGCCUACAAAUUUUCAUCAACUCCUUGUUGUUGGAGAAGUGGGAUUAUCCGCAUUUCUCUCUAUCGACUCGAUGAUUGUCUGCCGGAACUUCUAGAUUUGCAAUUUUCGGGAAAAGGGUGUUUUGUUAUUGCGUGACGGGAUCUAGUCGUUCUUGUGCUUCGAAGAUUUCGGGUUAUGUCAACUUUUCAUGGUGGCUUUUUGGCGGACAUUUUAGCUUUAGUUCUCAUCGGGUCUUUCACUUGGCUAGCUCGCGGCCUUACUCCAAUUAUGAUUUUUUUGCUUUUGUCGGUGUCUUUUGUAAAUUCUCUCUUUCUCUCUCUCCUUUUGAUCUACUUUGGUGAUGCCUUUUUGUGGUUCCAAAUUUGAUCCAUUGCUUUGGGCUAAAUCUUGAGAAUGUCUUCGUUUUCUCUCUCGGUCAAUCUUGCUUGUCAGUGGCAGAAGUUUUGGGAGCUGGGGCUGUGGAGUGAGGAAUGCAGAUGAUAUGUUUGAUAAUUUGCCUCUUCGUAGCCAAUGCUCUUGCGCAGUCAGACUUAAAAGGGCUUUUGGAGCUGAAGAAAGGGAUCCAGAGGGACCGCUCAGGGCAAUUUCUUGAUUCAUAUGAUUCCAAGUCCUUGGCCUCUGAUGGUUGUCCCCAGAAUUGGCAUGGUGUCACGUGUAGUGAAGGUCAUAUCACAAAAGCUUUUUUCUUGACAACGUGGGCCUAAUUGGGAUCAGCUUAGUUGCUGUUUCUGGCCUCAUCAUGCUUCAGAGUUUUUCAUUAUCUAAAAACCAAUUGACAGGGAUCGUCUCAGAGGUUAGCUCAGGCUUAGAUCAUUUGAAAUGGUUAGAUUUGCACAGUAAUGGAUUUGCUGGAGAUGUCAUGAAGCUGCUCUCUGUUUUCUGUAGCAUAGAGUAUCCUGAUCUGAGCUAUAAUCAGCUCUCCAUUUCACUUGACCUGGUGCUUGGUAAUUCUAGUUUCCUUUCCUCAAUUUGCUUUCUGAACUUUGGCUCUAAUUCUUUAGCAGGGGAGCUAUUUUUGCACAUCGGGAUGCUGUUUUUAACAGUUUGGAGGUGUUUGAUGCUAGUAAUAAUAGGGGAUGAUGUUAUAUCUAAAGUGAAGAUAGAUUUCCUGCCACGUGAAGAUGACAUGUUUCUUUAGCUACGACAAAGUAAUGUUUCUGAAAACUUUUAGAAGCAUGUGUUUGGAUUUUUACUCUUUGAAAAAGAAAAGGAACCCCUAGAAGUAUGUUAGGCAAAUUUCACAAGUCUCUGCGCCUCCUCUGAAAGUUGAAGAAAUCGGAGAAACUUUCCUAAAAAUCUAAUGCUUUCACCGUCUGUUUGAUAUGUGUUGUACUAUAACCAACCUUUAAAAAAUAAUUUUGGGAAAAGUAACUUUGAUUGAGACUCACUCUGCAUGUUUUCAUGGAGUUUGCAUUUGGAAUGUUAUUCUGAAAUGAAUUGUUUUUCUAAAAGCAUUUAUAUGGUUCCUAUAAUUAUUGCCAUUGCUCUUGCCAUGCGAUGAUGUACUGACACAAAAUCUCUGUUCAGGGGAGGUUUUGAUUAAUAUUACAAACUGGAAUGAAGGUGAAGCCUGAAUUUCUUAAUGAGAUUAGCAAAUGUGCCACAUGAAUUUGGUUCUUGGCUUUCACAGCUUUUUAUGUGCUACACAGAUUAUAGUUAGCAAAACAAAAUUUCCAGGUUUCUUCACAAAACUGAAUCUGAUUGUAACACUUAUGGUAAUUCUGAUGUCAUUCAUCAUCUUGGCAGACCCAGUUGGAUGUGUUACCUCUGCAACUUUGAAGAAGUUCAAUUUAUCUUCAGACUGUCGGGCUUGGUACUGUCUGUAUAGGGCAUUGUGCCACAAUAGACUUGAGCAUGCUCUCUGGCAAUUUAUCAUGAAUAUAGAGUUGGGGAAACUCUGUGGAAGGAGUUCCAACUCAUUGACAGGAGCAUUACCUAUCCAAACUUCUCAAUUUUUGAGACUGACUUCAUUCCAGAUCUCGGACAAUUUAGUGGGGGGCCCUCUUCCCCAAGUCUUAGGCACAUAUCCAGAAUUGAAGGUAAUAGUCUUAGCCUCAACCAGCUCAGUGGAAUCCUUUUUCCUAGUUUGUUUAGCUCAACCAAAUUCACUGAUCUUAACUUAUGGUUCAAUCCCUCUUGAGGAAAAUUUAGAUCAUUCUUCUGUAGUUUCCGAUCAGAACUUCAGCCUUUGAAUUAUUGAUCUGCCAAGUAUCUCAUUGAGUGGCUCUCUUCAACUACUUUGAAGGUGGCCUUCCCGAUAAUCUGCUUGAUGAACUUCAAGGAUGUGUCUUACAAUAAUUUCUCAGGCAUUGUGCCUGAAAACUUGAGAAGAUUUCAUGAUUCAGCAUUGCAUCCAGGAAACUCUUUGCUGGUUUCUCCUUAUGCACCAAAAUCUCCGGAAGGGCCGCCAGAUAGGAUUGAGUGAACUCGGGACACAUAUGAGAACUGCUGCUAAGAUUGCCCUUAUUGCAGAUGGUUGGAGGUGCUUAUAUGAUAGCUCUUCUAUGCUUCCUUAUCUCCUGCAGCAGAAAACAAAUGGAAGGUGAAGAUUUGAAAGAAAAUAUAUGGAAAAUUGGUCAUUCUCUAGGCGAUUCUGCAGCCAAUCUUGAAUCAUUUUUCCAGAAGAUAUUGGAGCCCCAUCGUCUUCAGUUACUUUAAAUCCAGAUUAGCUGCCAUAUGCUUGGAUGGGCUUUUCUCCUCAAUCAGAAUCAAAUUCAUCAGUUGCAAAAGUAAAUGUGGAUCUUAGCUAUGUUGAAAGAAUAGAUGAACUGGUUUCUUCUCCUAUCUCUGUUGUCUUCUUCAAAUCCAUUGCCUUCUAACGAACCCAGUGUGCUCAAGGUUGGUUCUCCGGACUAGUUGGAUGGUGACUUGAAUCUAUUUGACAGGUCCUUUAUCUUCACAGCAGGAGAACUUUCGUGUGCUCCUGCAGAAGUCAUGGGAAGGGGUUGUCAUGUAACAUCAUGUAAAGCUGCACUUCAUUCCGGCCAUGUUUUGGUUGUCAGAUGGUUGACCGAAGGAAUAGCAAAAGGAAGGAAAGACUUCACUAGGGAAUUCAAGAAACUUGGGAGCAUCAAACUUCCAAAUCUAGUUCCUUUACAGGGUUACUACAGGCGGGUUAAAGGAGCAUGAAAAGCUUAUCAUAUCUAAUUAUAUCCAUGCAGCAAGCAUGGACCUUUAUCUUGGAGGUAACCUUGCCCGUCUUUAUGCUUGACUUGAUAUUAGACCUUUAAUAUGUGAUCCAAACAUUGCCAUGGUCUUGCUAUCGAUAGACCUGUUUCCAUGUCUAAGUAUUUUAGCUCGUGAUUCUUAAAGCUUAAACUGGCAAUGAACUGUUGCUUAGAAAAGCAGAAGUUGAUAAUCCAUAUUCUAAUUUAUUUUUUUAUAAUUGAAUAAACUGCAACCCUCUUUGUGUGAUGCUCUACCCUUAUUAAAUUCAUGGUCUAUGUGAGAGAUUAGUCGGAUGAGGUCUUAGUGCUGUCUUACUAUGUGCACUAUCUUCUGCAAGUGAAGGCAUUGCAAAUAAAGUGCAUCUCUAGAAAACGUAGAAGAUGGUCAUCAGGAGUCAGACAUGCCAUCCACGGAAGAGCACCUUAACCAUCUCGACAUAUGGAGCAAAGCUAGUACAGUAUGACAAUUUUCAACUGGCUAGGUUUUUGGUCCUGAACAUAGUAAUAGUGGAUUUGAUGAACAGAAUGACUUAGUCGGUUAUACAGAGGGUUGGUGCUUAUACAUUAAUUUUUUCUAUGCUUGGGCAAUGUAAAAUAUACCCUUAUUUAUUUGGGAAUUGAAGUUGUUCAUCGUCAUUUCACUCUGGAAAAUCCUAUUGGCAUGGAUUGAGAUAAUACUGAAGAUAACAUAGGAAACAAUUGAAUGUUACUUAGCAUUGAUUAAGAACACCCACGAGUCCAUGGCACAUGUUUGAAGCUCUUUGCAGCAAAGAUGGAUCCAAGGAAACUAUCGCCCUUGUCUCUCGACACAAGGCUCCAGAUCACUUUAUAUAUGGCACGUUGCUUGAACUUCCUCAAUAAUGAGAAAGGAAUACCGCACAGCAACCUGAGGUCAACUAACAUCUUGUUAGAAGCUCCGGACUUUAAUGUUGGAGGUGGCUCUGAGAUGAUCCUUCCAGCGUCUGACAGGUCUGACAUUAGUAAGACAGUUUUUUGAAGAUCUUAUUUCUCUACGGCCAUUAUGCGCACGCCAAGCUAAUUGAUAAAUUUGGUCAUUGUUACUUCCUGUACUAACUCUCAUUCUUGUCUAUUUUUGGUUCUUCCAAUUAAUUCAUAUUUGGUCUUUGUGUUUAAUUCUUCACUUGAUUAGGUCUAGCAUAUCUAGUUCUUGCCAAGAUUUCUUUUUUGGUAUUCUUCCGGAGAAAUCAUCCAAAUAGCUGCAUCUAGAUGUAAGGGGGAUAAUCAUCAUUCUUUUUCUUAUUUGUGACCGUUUGCUUUUUACUUCUGAAUAAUUUGUUGGCAAUGUUUCUGCCAGAACGGCCGAGCCGUUACUUAUUGCGCUCCUUUCCAUUGGUCCUGUAACUCAUGUUUCAUCACUUUGCUAAACAGACAAUUUAGGACCGACAAUCUACUGUGGCAUUUUCUUUCUCCUUCUUCACCUCUUCAUUUUGUUGCAGAAAAAGUUCACACCAUCUUGAUCAAGCCAGUGUACUAUUUCGCUCCAACCGUGGCCGAAAAAUUUGCAGAGUGGAGCUUUAUCUCGGUCCAUAUAAUUGUCUGUGAAUGCAGCUGGACUUCUGGUUCUUUGGAACUUCGUGAGACUACUUGUUCAUUUGAAUUGCGUCAGUUUCUUCCUGAAAGUGUUGGGCCCGACAAGCACAUACAAUGCUUCAACAAAUGUGACACUCAACACAGAAACAAUCAUAUUGACAACUCUUUUCGUGAAAAUCGGUUGAUUUGGGCAUAAA